GAUGAACGCUGGCGGCGUGCCUAAUACAUGCAAGUCGAGCGAACAGACGAGGAGCUUGCUCCUUUGACGUUAGCGGCGGACGGGUGAGUAACACGUGGAUAACCUACCUAUAAGACUGGGAUAACUCCGGGAAACCGGAGCUAAUACCGGAUAAUAUAUUGAACCGCAUGGUUCAAUAGUGAAAGACGGCUUUGCUGUCACUUAUAGAUGGAUCCGCGCCGUAUUAGCUAGUUGGUAAGGUAACGGCUUACCAAGGCGACGAUGCGUAGCCGACCUGAGAGGGUGAUCGGCCACACUGGAACUGAGACACGGUCCAGACUCCUACGGGAGGCAGCAGUAGGGAAUCUUCCGCAAUGGGCGAAAGCCUGACGGAGCAACGCCGCGUGAGUGAUGAAGGUCUUCGGAUCGUAAAACUCUGUUAUUAGGGAAGAACAAAUGUGUAAGUAACUAUGCACGUCUUGACGGUACCUAAUCAGAAAGCCACGGCUAACUACGUG
rnacentral:rRNA from 1 species